GACGAACGCUGGCGGCGUGCCUAAUACAUGCACGUAGGACGCAGUUGCGAACGGGUGAGUAACGCGUAGGUAACUACCUAUUCAAGGGGGAUAACUAUUGGAAACGAUCGCUACUACCGCAUACUAGUAGAUGGACCUGCGUUGUAUUAGCUAGUAGGUAGGGUAAAGGCCUACCUAGGCAAGGAUACAUAGCCGACCUGGUAGGGUGAUCGGCAACACGGGGACUGAGACACGGACCAGACUCCUACGGGAGGCAGCAGUAGGGAAUCUUCGGCAAUUGGGGGAACCCUGACCGAGCAAAGCCGCGUGAGUGAAGAAGGUUUUCGGAUCGUAAAGCUCUGUUGUGAAGGAAGCGGUACUUAACCAGAAAGGGACGGCUAACUACGUGCCAGCAGCCGCGGUAAUAC
rnacentral:rRNA from 1 species